rnacentral:rRNA from 1 species
UUAAGCGACUAAGCGUACACGGUGGAUGCCCUGGCAGUCAGAGGCGAUGAAGGACGUGCUAAUCUGCGAAAAGCGUCGGUAAGGUGAUAUGAACCGUUAUAGCCGGCGAUGUCCGAAUGGGGAAACCCAGUGUGAUUCGUCACACUAUCGUUAACUGAAUACAUAGGUUAACGAGGCGAACCGGGGGAACUGAAACAUCUAAGUACCCCGAGGAAAAGAAAUCAACCGAGAUUCCCCCAGUAGCGGCGAGCGAACGGGGAGCAGCCCAGAGUCUGAAUCAGCUUGUGUGUUAGUGGAACGGUCUGGAAAGUCCGACGGUACAGGGUGAUAGUCCCGUACACCAAAAUGCACAGGCUGUGAACUCGAAGAGUAGGGCGGGACACGUGGUAUCCUGUCUGAAUAUGGGGGGACCAUCCUCCAAGGCUAAAUACUCCUGACUGACCGAUAGUGAACCAGUACCGUGAGGGAAAGGCGAAAAGAACCCCGGCGAGGGGAGUGAAAAAGAACCUGAAACCGUGUACGUACAAGCAGUGGGAGCACCUUCGGGUGUGACUGCGUACCUUUUGUAUAAUGGGUCAGCGACUUAUAUUCUGUAGCAAGGUUAACCGUAUAGGGGAGCCGCAGGGAAACCGAGUCUUAACUGGGCGUUAAGUUGCAGGGUAUAGACCCGAAACCCGGUGAUCUAGCCAUGGGCAGGUUGAAGGUUGGGUAACACUAACUGGAGGACCGAACCGACUAAUGUUGAAAAAUUAGCGGAUGACUUGUGGCUGGGGGUGAAAGGCCAAUCAAACCGGGAGAUAGCUGGUUCUCCCCGAAAGCUAUUUAGGUAGCGCCUCGUGAACUCAUCUUCGGGGGUAGAGCACUGUUUCGGCUAGGGGGUCAUCCCGACUUACCAACCCGAUGCAAACUACGAAUACCGAAGAAUGUUAUCACGGGAGACACACGGCGGGUGCUAACGUCCGUCGUGAAGAGGGAAACAACCCAGACCGCCAGCUAAGGUCCCAAAGUCAUGGUUAAGUGGGAAACGAUGUGGGAAGGCACAGACAGCCAGGAUGUUGGCUUAGAAGCAGCCAUCAUUUAAAGAAAGCGUAAUAGCUCACUGGUCGAGUCGGCCUGCGCGGAAGAUGUAACGGGGCUAAACCAUGCACCGAAGCUGCGGCAGCGACACUAUGUGUUGUUGGGUAGGGGAGCGUUCUGUAAGCCUGCGAAGGUGGCCUGUGAGGGCUGCUGGAGGUAUCAGAAGUGCGAAUGCUGACAUAAGUAACGAUAAAGCGGGUGAAAAGCCCGCUCGCCGGAAGACCAAGGGUUCCUGUCCAACGUUAAUCGGGGCAGGGUGAGUCGACCCCUAAGGCGAGGCCGAAAGGCGUAGUCGAUGGGAAACAGGUUAAUAUUCCUGUACUUGGUGUUACUGCGAAGGGGGGACGGAGAAGGCUAUGUUAGCCGGGCGACGGUUGUCCCGGUUUAAGCAUGUAGGCGGAGGUUCCAGGUAAAUCCGGUACCUUUUAACGCUGAGGUGUGAUGACGAGGCACUACGGUGCUGAAGUAACAAAUGCCCUGCUUCCAGGAAAAGCCUCUAAGCAUCAGGUAACAUUAAAUCGUACCCCAAACCGACACAGGUGGUCAGGUAGAGAAUACCAAGGCGCUUGAGAGAACUCGGGUGAAGGAACUAGGCAAAAUGGUGCCGUAACUUCGGGAGAAGGCACGCUGGUGUGUAGGUGAAGUCCCUGCGGAUGGAGCUGAGACCAGUCGAAGAUACCAGCUGGCUGCAACUGUUUAUUAAAAACACAGCACUGUGCAAACACGAAAGUGGACGUAUACGGUGUGACGCCUGCCCGGUGCCGGAAGGUUAAUUGAUGGGGUUAUCCGUAAGGAGAAGCUCUUGAUCGAAGCCCCGGUAAACGGCGGCCGUAACUAUAACGGUCCUAAGGUAGCGAAAUUCCUUGUCGGGUAAGUUCCGACCUGCACGAAUGGCGUAAUGAUGGCCAGGCUGUCUCCACCCGAGACUCAGUGAAAUUGAACUCGCUGUGAAGAUGCAGUGUACCCGCGGCAAGACGGAAAGACCCCGUGAACCUUUACUAUAGCUUGACACUGAACAUUGAGCCUUGAUGUGUAGGAUAGGUGGGAGGCUUUGAAGCGUGGACGCCAGUCUGCGUGGAGCCAACCUUGAAAUACCACCCUUUAAUGUUUGAUGUUCUAACGUUGGCCCCUAAUCGGGGUUGCGGACAGUGUCUGGUGGGUAGUUUGACUGGGGCGGUCUCCUCCCAAAGAGUAACGGAGGAGCACGAAGGUUAGCUAAUCCUGGUCGGACAUCAGGAGGUUAGUGCAAUGGCAUAAGCUAGCUUGACUGCGAGCGUGACGGCGCGAGCAGGUGCGAAAGCAGGUCAUAGUGAUCCGGUGGUUCUGAAUGGAAGGGCCAUCGCUCAACGGAUAAAAGGUACUCCGGGGAUAACAGGCUGAUACCGCCCAAGAGUUCAUAUCGACGGCGGUGUUUGGCACCUCGAUGUCGGCUCAUCACAUCCUGGGGCUGAAGUAGGUCCCAAGGGUAUGGCUGUUCGCCAUUUAAAGUGGUACGCGAGCUGGGUUUAGAACGUCGUGAGACAGUUCGGUCCCUAUCUGCCGUGGGCGCUGGAGAAUUGAGGGGGGCUGCUCCUAGUACGAGAGGACCGGAGUGGACGCAUCACUGGUGUUCGGGUUGUCAUGCCAAUGGCACUGCCCGGUAGCUAAAUGCGGAAGAGAUAAGUGCUGAAAGCAUCUAAGCACGAAACUUGCCCCGAGAUGAGUUCUCCCUGAGACUUUAAGUCUCCUGAAGGAACGUUGAAGACGACGACGUUGAUAGGCCGGGUGUGUAAGCGCAGCGAUGCGUUGAGCUAACCGGUACUAAUGAACCGUGAGGCUUAACCU